UACACCUAUACAGUAUUAUUUACAGUCAGUAGAAUAUUAUUAACAAGCAAUAAUAUAAUAUUAAUACUAUGAUACUACUGCGCGCGUCGUGUCUAUUAUUGUCUCUAUCGUUGUUGUUGUUAUUAUUUUUUAUCAUUAUUCAUCAUCAUCACCGUUACUAUUAUAGUUGCUUACGCUUACACGCUAUAUAUAAUGUAUAGUGUAUACAUACACACGUGACAUUGAAUUGAAACGCGUUCCGACACGUUCGGUUGGGAAAUUUUUUUUUUUUUUUUUUUGGAAACAACAUCGGUCGUUUUUUUUUAUUUAAUUCCUGUACGACAUUUAACCACAUACACUAUGCAAACACGUUAUUAUAAUAUUGCGUCAUAAAUUGGUCGUCGUCGUCUUUCACGUCUAACAAACUAACAUUAAAAGGAACAAAUAACUAGUUAUAAUUCUAAAACGAUUGUACGUAUUAUUCUUAGUUUUAAUACAAUUUUAAUUUACAAAUUUAUAAUAAUAAUAGAUUUCGUUCGCAGUAUAAAAAAAGUCCAUAAUAAUCAAUUGAAUCACAGGUAUAUUUUAGUUACUAAGUACUAGCUACAACAAUCCUCGUAAGCUCAGACACCCAGCGGCCAGCACGUGGUAGAGAUAAGUACUGACCAGAAUAUUUUGAUAUUUUUUAUUCAAAUACAGAAUUUUUUUUUGAGAGGACAUCCUAAAAAAGAUGCACAAACUAUAUAUCUAAUCUAUAUAUAUUCGUCAUAAGAACAAGUAUAUAAAUUUAUAGUAAUUUUUACUAUAUUACUUAAUAAGUCAUAAGACGUGCGCAUGUACUUAUUGUUCCAGUAGUGUUUGUGUAAAUCAGUCAUAACAGAUGGUCGAACAAAUUUCAAAGAUAUAGAGGCAACGGUACGCGUCGUGCUCAUUGCCAUCCUGGCACCCUGCGCACCGAAUGGAGUUUUACACGAGCAAACUGAGCAAAGGAUUCCUGGUAACAUAUAAUAUUAUAUUUUCUAACGUAAGUACCACUUCACAAACUCGAUUUAAAUAAUGUAUUAAUAUAUUUAUUUUUAACCCGCCAACUUGUCAUAUUCCUAUUCUCAAUGUAGAUAAAUAAUCCCUCACGGGAAACUCUUGACUGCAUUCUGCUCCUGCAUUGCGUUCACGUACAUAGGGUUUGUGCCGUUUUAACUUCUCGUCAACUGGACCCAGGAAGAUACUUUUUUGUAAAUAAGCGGCAAGCGCACUGCGUGUUUAUCGAAGUUAUUAUAAAAUUAUUAUGACACUGCAUUUACUGUGACAUUAGUCGUUCAAUGGCAUAUUGUUAUUGAAUUCAAUAAUAUUCUUUAGUUAUUUUUUCCACUGUUUUGCGCGUGGUAAUAGAUUACGAGUGACUUGAAAAAACUCGUAGAUUCCUAACUAUAAUAAAAUAUAAUAAGUAAUAAUAACAUAAUAUGCAUACUCGGAUUAUUAACAAUAAAAUUAUCGACUUUUAUUGUUUACCAACUGAUAUAUAAUAUAUAUUAUAUUUUAUUUUUUUCUACAGUAUUCAUAUAAUACGAGUAAUACGACGUGCACCUAUCUGAAUACACGACUUCAAAGAAAAUAUCAGCAUAACCUAUCCAGACGUGCGGGAUUUUUAUACAAUUAAUAUAAUAUAUGUCUAGCGUGUAUUUAAUUAUGUUUACAACAACGUUUUUAAUAUUUCAGUUUGAUGAUAUGCAAGCAUGCAACAUUGCGUAUUCUGCAACAAAGAGAACCCUUUUAACGUUAAUAAUUGUCUACUAAGUAAUAAAACAUAAGUUUAAGAUUUCGUUUUUAACUAAUCUACAAAUAGGUAGGUAUGUAAAAAUAUUGAUACCACGCGUCAUGGUGUUAUCGAGUAGGUUAAUCGAGUGUCUAUACGCUUUACGUAGGUAUAGUUUUUAGUAUACUAGUUAGUAUAUAGUUACCUACCUAUAGAUUAAUGUUUUUCUAUUACAUAACACUUUUUUCGACUAGUUUGAUUAGAUAACGAUAAAAAGUAUCUUUAUAUUUAUAUCGUAAAAUAUAGCUUUAUACGUGCAUACAUACUUAGUCUUAACUGCAAUAACAUAUUAUUUAUUUAAUCAUUUAACGAUUAAUAAUAAUUAUUAAUUAGCUAGGUAGGUAAUAUCAUUUAAUUUUGAUAUAAUAUUAUCUUA
rnacentral:lncRNA from 1 species